GACAGCUCAGGCUCUUUUGAUCCACUCUCCUUUUUCACCUCCCUUGACAGCGACUGCACAAUCGCUUGGAGGCAAUUCAUUUGUCUUCUAGGGUUUGGUUAUGUUAGGGUGUCCAUGAUGGCGACGGUGAGGAGGUGGCGUUAGUUAGGCCCUCUGACAUUUUCCCGUCGCAGCAAUGUCUGCUCCAACGCCCUGCGGCAUCUGUGGGGAUAGAGGCGACAAGCUCCCGUUGAACUCGCUCCCUUACAGGGAGAUCAAGAAUGGCGUGCUCUGGGGGUUUAGGGGCAAGGUAUGUUUGCUCCAUUGAUUUGUCCUGCAGUUUUGGUUAGAACAACCAUGUGUUGAGUUAUGUGCUUUGUUAAUCUGGAAAACUCUGAAAGUCUGAAUUAUUUGAUCCUGCAGUGGUUCACUUUGUGUGGAAAGCAAAUUGGCCAUGUAUAGUGGGUGUGUUAUGUGUGCUGUGCUCCUUUUUUGACUCCCAUGGGGAGAGCUAAUCCACCAAACAGACUGAAUGUUUUAUGCUUUCGCUAAUUGGGUAAAUUUGGGUAAUUUUUUUAGCUUGCAAAAAAUUAGUUAUUUACUACAUAGGUUCUCACAUACCAGUGCUCCACAAGACUACAUACACAAAGUAGGUUCCUAAGGUGACCCUGAAAAUAAAUGGCAUACACAAACAACAUAGUUCCACCAAACAACAUUAUAUUGUUAGUCUGAAGGUCGUGAUUUUGAUUUCGAUAUUUGCAUUGUUUCCCUUUGUUUAUUUAUCUUGAAGUUAAAAAUAUGCAUUUGUGUUGAAUAAUUCGACCUAAGGUAUAUUCUAGGUCGUGAUUUAGCUUCUAAUUUGUUUGGAGUUGCUUCCUUGUGUCUGGUGCUGCUGUUUUGGCUUUUUGAAGUUGGAGGCGAACGAGCACUGAGAAUCCGUGGUCAUCUCUCUGUUCACCUCUUUUUUUGCACUCAUUGCUCUUGUACAACUAUUGUGGUGUGUUUCUCAGAACCAUUCAUAUGUUCUCUGAUGGUGGGUCUUUUGAGUUGGGAGACCAAUGAUCACCAAAGCUGGCCACUAAUGUGGCGAUCUCUAUGUUGUCUUCUCCAACAUGGUGUUCUUGAUCUUUAAUCACCAUCUUUUUUUGUUGAUGCCUCUUUUUUGCCCUUUGUGUUCCUGAUGUCUUGUCGCCUGUUUUCCUACCACUUUAUUUCUUUUUUCAGUAUGUACUAACUUGGAUAUUUGAGAUAAGCUAAAUUGAUCUGUAACGAGCUGUCAAUGUGCAUGUAUUAUUUGCUAUUAUCUUACCAUUUGCUAAUUGUCCUUGUCCUGUCCAGAUCUGACAGCACAUGCCUACUUCAGGCACCUCAAAUUAUCAUUGCUCUAAACUUUUUUACAUGUCGUGCCGCUGGACAUGUGCACAUGUUCUGUUCAAUAUGGUAGGGUGUAUCAACCUGAAAAAAUGCAUACUUUUUUUCUAAAAAUUUCAGGAUAUGUUCCGCAAUGUGUAGCUGAUUAGCUAGUAAUAUUACCACACCCUUGUAAAUAUACUAUUCACCCCCUCAAAUUACAUCCUAUUACAUGUGUCCCUUUUCCUCUUAUUUCUGCAGAGCAGGUGCUUUUCUUUUUCUAUGCCCUCGAUUUGUCUGCAAAAAUAAUAUAUGAUACGUGCUGCUCUUUUCAUGGUGUCUUGGGGCUCCACGUCCAGGCUAUAUAAAUUCUGAAUGUUGUAGCCUGCGAGCAUUGUGGCACCCUCCAGCUGCUUAAUGUGUUUUUUUUUGUUUUUUCUUGUCAAUAUGAGUGGAAAAUCUUUUAUGUUGUAUAUAUUUCUUUGAUAGUUUCAAUAUGAGUGGCACCCUCCAGCUGCUUAAACUUUGAUUCUGAUGGAAGUUAUACAUAAUUAUGAGAACUUUUUUCAAUGUUA